UACGUAGGGUGCAAGCGUUGUCCGGAAUUCUUGGGCGUAAAGCGCUCGUAGGCGGUUUGUUGCGUCGGCUGUGAAAUCCCGAGGCUCAACCUCGGGUCUGCAGUCGAUACGAGCAAACUAGAGUGUUGCAGGGGAGACUGGAAUUCCUGGUGUAGCGGUGAAAUGCGCAGAUAUCAGGAGGAACACCGGUGGCGAAGGCGGGUCUCUGGGCAACAACUGACGCUGAGGAGCGAAAGCGUGGGGAGCGAACAGG
rnacentral:rRNA from 1 species